AAAACUUUUUCAAAAGAAAAAAUUUGUUCUUAUCAGUUUAAUAUCUGAUACGUCCCCCAUCCGGGGACUACAUAUUAAAUGGAUUUUUAGACACGGAGCUGGAGACCUGCGAGGCCAAUCUGAGACCUGCGUCUGGUUCGGCUCGAGCCAAGGAUUCCCAUGACAUAAGGCACGUGGCUCUGCGA